ACGUAGGGACCAAGCGUUGUUCGGAUUUACUGGGCGUAAAGGGCGCGUAGGCGGCUUGACAAGUCACUUGUGAAAUCUCCGGGCUUAACUCGGAACGGCCAAGUGAAGCUGUCAUGCUAGAGUGCAGAAGGGGCAAUCGGAAUUCUUGGUGUAGCGGUGAAAUGCGUAGAUAUCAAGAGGAACACCUGAGGUGAAGACGGGUUGCUGGGCUGACACUGACGCUGAGGCGCGAAAGCCAGGGGAGCAAACGGGAUUAGAUACCCCGGUAGUCCUGGCCCUAAACGAUGAAUACUUGGUGUCUGGAGUUAUUAUUGCUCUGGGUGCCGUCGCUAACGUUUUAAGUAUUCCGCCUGGGGAGUACGCACGCAAGUGUG
rnacentral:rRNA from 1 species